UGAAACUUGAAUGAUCAUAUAUAAAUUAUCAUAACUUUUAACAAUGGAUCUCUUGGCUCUCACAUCGAUGAAGAACACAGUGAAAUGUGAUAAGUAAUGUGAAUUGCAGAAUUCAGUGAAUCAUUGAAUCUUUGAACGCACCUUGCACCUUUUGGU
rnacentral:rRNA from 1 species